AGAGUUUGAUCCUGGCUCAGAUUGAACGCUGGCGGCAUGCCUUACACAUGCAAGUCGAACGGCAGCGCGGACUUCGGUCUGGCGGCGAGUGGCGAACGGGUGAGUAAUACAUCGGAACGUACCCUGUUGUGGGGGAUAACUAGUCGAAAGAUUAGCUAAUACCGCAUACGACCUGAGGGUGAAAGCGGGGGACCGCAAGGCCUCGCGCAGCAGGAGCGGCCGAUGUCUGAUUAGCUAGUUGGUGGGGUAAAGGCCCACCAAGGCGACGAUCAGUAGCUGGUCUGAGAGGACGAUCAGCCACACUGGGACUGAGACACGGCCCAGACUCCUACGGGAGGCAGCAGUGGGGAAUUUUGGACAAUGGGGGCAACCCUGAUCCAGCAAUGCCGCGUGUGUGAAGAAGGCCUUCGGGUUGUAAAGCACUUUUGUCCGGAAAGAAAACGCUCUGGUUAAUACCUGGGGUGGAUGACGGUACCGGAAGAAUAAGCACCGGCUAACUACGUGCCAGCAGCCGCGGUAAUACGUAGGGUGCGAGCGUUAAUCGGAAUUACUGGGCGUAAAGCGUGCGCAGGCGGUUUUGUAAGACAGGCGUGAAAUCCCCGAGCUCAACUUGGGAAUUGCGCUUGUGACUGCAAGGCUAGAGUAUGU
rnacentral:rRNA from 1 species